CUUCAAGAGAAAAAUGAUUAAAUCCAAAUACUGAAAAUCCUUCAUCUUGUCUCUAUUUUAUCUUCUUCUAUUUCAAUCAGAUCAUCAGUGGUUUAAAUCCUAAAACUAUCUGUGUUGAUGUUGUGUCUCUGCUUGUCUUCAGUGUGCUGAGAGCAGAGAAAUCAUUUCCAUAGAGACGAGGCUUUGCAUGGUCAGCUGAUCCUCCAGGGAACUGAGAAGGUUUAUAGUCCUGUGAGUUCAACACUGCAGGACUCAGAUCUGUCAGUCAACCCAGCAGAACCAACAAGCACCAUGACUCUCAUCACCAUCCUGAUCUGGACGCUGCUGACCUGCUGCUGUUUUACAGGAUGCAGCGCUCAGGUGACUGUGACUCAGCUUCCACUGAUGACAUUUACACCAGGAUCCACUGUCAACAUCAAGUGUACAACAAGUCCUGCUGUUGGAACAUGUUCUGGCAGUCCUUGUAUGUCCUGGUAUCAGCAGAAACCAGGACAGCCUCCAAAGCUCUUGAUUAAAUAUGUGAAAAAACUUCAGUCAGGAACACCAGAUCGGUUUAGUGGCAGUGGAAGCAGCUCUGUCUUCACUUUGACCAUCACUGGAGUUCAGGCUGAAGAUGCAGCAGUUUAUUACUGUCAGAGUUUCCACAGUGGCCCAGUGUUCACACAGUGAUUUGUAGCUGUACAAAAACCUCCUUCAGUCAGACUGCAAACACACUGAGCUGUUAGAGCAGAAACUGCAGCUGCUGAGGAGGAAGAGACUCUGAAACAGAUCAAUGAACCUCAGACUUUAAGAGCUUUGUUCAGUCCGUAAAUAUAUCAAACAUCAUUUAGGAUAAAACAUCAACAACUUCAACAGUUUUAGGCUUCCUUGAAGGGAACAUCUCAGACUCCAUCUUUUAAUUACAACACUGUAAUUUUGUAGCUCAGUGAACAGAUAUUUCACCAGACUGUGGAGCUGAUUAGAUAAUUUCCUGGAAAUUAUAACAAUUCAGACACACAAAAUAAUAGAUUUCUUCACAUAUGAAGGUAUUUCCAUAAACAUUAUUUUAUUAUUUCCUUAAUCAUAUUUCUUUAAAUAUUAUUUUAAUAAAUAAAGGCAGCUAAUUAAACACCGUUGAAAAUUGGUCAUCCAGAAGAUUGGUUUUAUUCA